GAUGAACGCUGGCGGCGUGCCUAACACAUGCAAGUCGAGCGUGAACCCUGCGAAUGAAACUUCGGUCGAUUUUGCAGGGGGAAAGCGGCGGACGGGUGAGUAACGCGUAGGUAACCUGCCCCAUACUGAGGGAUAGCCUCGGGAAACCGGGAUUAAUACCUCAUAACACCGUAUAUUCGCAUGGAUGUGCGGUCAAAGAUUUAUCGGUAUGGGAUGGGCCUGCGUCUGAUUAGCUGGUUGGUGGGGUAACGGCCUACCAAGGCGACGAUCAGUAGCCGACCUGAGAGGGUGAUCGGCCACAUUGGAACUGAGACACGGCCCAGACUCCUACGGGAGGCAGCAGUGGGGAAUAUUGCACAAUGGGCGAAAGCCUGAUGCAGCGACGCCGCGUGAAGGAUGAAGGUCUUCGGAUUGUAAACUUCUAUCAGCAGGGAAGAAAGGGCCUAUGGCCUAUGACGGUACCUGACUAAGAAGCCCCGGCUAACUACGUGCCAGC
rnacentral:rRNA from 1 species